CGGCAAACAUUUUUAUUUGUUUUUUUAUACAUGAAUUGCAGUUGGGCCCAGGCGAAUUGAAACAAAGUGUGUACGUCCAACAUCGGAUGGGACCCAACCAAGUCCACAUCGAUGUGAUUUCACACUGGAGAGAAACCGCAGCUUGGUCCAAGCGCAGGUGAAUUUAAACAAAGCAUUACACACCUCAAUGUGAUGUAACACCGAUGAGGACUUGGUUGGGUCCCAUCAGAUGUUUGACUACUUUGUUUAAAUUCACCCGGGCUCAGACAAAGCUGGGGUUUCACUCCUGUGUGAUGUCACAUCGAUGUCGACCUGGUCGGGUCACUUCAGUUGUUUGACGUACAUACUUUGUUUAAAUUCACCUGGGCCCAGACAAAGUAUGGACAUCAAACAUCGGAUAAGUCCAGCCCAGGUCCACAUCGAUGUGACAUCCCACUGGAGUGAAACCCCAGCUUUGUCCUAGCGUAGGUGAAUUUAAACAAAGUAUGACACACCUCAGUGUGAUGCAACAUCGAUGAGGACUUGGUUGAGUCCCAUCAGAUGUUUCAAUACUUUGCUUAAAUUCACCCGGGCUUAGACAAAGCUGGGGUUUCCCUCCUGUGUGACUUCACAUCGAUCUGGACUUGGUCGGGCGCCAUCAGAUGUUUGACGUGCAUACUUUGUCUUCACAAUGUAAUACAUUUUAUUUUGCAGUUGUUUUUUUUGGGUUUUUAUAUGCUAUUUUCUUUUCUUUCCUUUUUUUUUUCUUAGCGCACACACGACCCACACUGGAACCGGGCCGCAAAUGUAGACAUCUCCUUCAUUCUACGGUUCAGCCACUUGUUGACCCGGGGCCUGAGGCUCGUCCCCUCAGCCUGAGCUGUGGCUUCCCCCUCCUCCUCAGCCUCGAUGACCAGAUCCUGAUGUUCAGGGGUGUUCGGGGGUGCGUCGGUGGUGAUGACGGCCUUUGGGUCGGCCCAGGCCAUCUUGAUUCGCCUAAAGGUGUUCUGGCGUGAAGGGCGGCCCAAAGGCUUCUCCUCAUCAAGCCGGGAGGUGGAUGCUGGUUGAACCCUCUUCUUUUUGAGGCCCUUCACCCGAAACCUCAGGUUCCCCAUGACCUGGGCCAGGGCCUUUGUGGGGGGGCUGUCUGGUAAACACACACACACAAGCAGGUAAACACACACACAAGCAGGUAAACACACACACACAAGCAGGUAAACACACACACAAGCAGGUAAACACAAUGCAGCCAGCUCACCAGGCACAUUGGCCUGGCUCAGGCCACCAAAGGGCCUGAGCCUUCUCCCUGGUGUUGGGGUUCUGUCAGAAAUGAACGACAGAACUGUGUUUAGUGACGACCAUAGUGGCUGCUGUGUGUUUGUUGCUGCUAUGGGGUCUGUUUUAGUGACGUGAGUGUGAGAGUCGCUCAGUCAAUGUUUUGUGAUUAUUCUGACGUAUAACACGCACACACACUUACACGCAUGCACACACACAUGCACACGCACACACGCACACAUGCACACACAUACAAGCAGCUACACACACACACACACACACACACGCAAGCAGGUAAACACACACACACACACGCAAGCAGGUAAAAACAACAAUGCGCGAACUCACCAGGUUCAUCUGCGUUCUGGUCUUGGUCCAGGGCGGUCUGGCCUUGGUCCGGGGCGGUCUGGCCUUGGUCCGGG
ensembl:lncRNA